rnacentral:rRNA from 1 species
UUUCUAUCAAGAAAUAGUUUUAAUUUAUGAUUAAAAAAAAUAUGUACAAAAAAAGGCUAGAAGCUAAUUAUGAAUUUUAAUACUCAGGUAGUUUAAAAAACUUAAAAUAAAUGGCUGCCAAGUAUCCCGAUUAAGGAAUUUUAAAAGAUUAUUUGAUAAUCCUCAAUUUUAUUUUCUUUAAAAAAUUUUUUGUGUGGUUGUUUAAUCAAAUUUUAGAAAAUGGAGUGCAAGUCAGAUUUCACGUUAUUUAUAUUUAAAGAAUUUUUUAAAAUGCAAUAUAAAUUUAUUUUUAAUUUUACAAAAAUAUAGUACUUAAAAGUAAUUUAUAGACUGAUAAAAUGGUUUUAUUUAGGGUUCAUAUCGUCCGUCGCUCUCAUGUU